GCUUACGCCAUACCACUCUGAGCACGAUCGUCCGAUCUCGGAAGCCAAGCAGGUCGGGCCUGGUUAGUACUUGGACGCGGAGACAGCCUGGGAAUACCAGGUGCUGUAAGCU
rnacentral:rRNA from 1 species